GCGCGAAAGACAAGACUUUCUUGAGCACAAGGUCACCUUCUCGAGUCUUGACCUUCUUAUUGAAUGCUUUCUUCCCUCUCUGCUGAUAUAACUGACCCUGACACAUGGCAGUUAAUCUCUUCUUUUUGAUCAGAUUCACUUGGUCGUAACGACUCUGAAUCCAUUCAGCAUCAGUCAACUUGGGACUUUGAGGGUGCUAUUUUUAUUUUGUUUCUUUCUUUCUUUCUUUUGAUUUCGAUUUCUUUUGAUUUCUUUUGAUGAUUUUUUUUUUUAUUUUGCACCCUCCUCUUUCUUUUUUCUUUUUUUUUUCUUACAUUUGUUUUUUUUAAUGCCCCAGCUGGCUGUUCUGCUGAUUCUCGAGAUGCAGCUGAG
rnacentral:lncRNA from 1 species